rnacentral:rRNA from 1 species
GACGUAGGGUCCGAGCGUUGUCCGGAAUUAUUGGGCGUAAAGGGCUCGUAGGCGGUUUGUCGCGUCGGGAGUGAAAACACCGGGCUUAACUCGGUGCUUGCUUUCGAUACGGGCGGACUAGAGGUAGGUAGGGGAGAACGGAAUUCCUGGUGUAGCGGUGGAAUGCGCAGAUAUCAGGAGGAACACCGGUGGCGAAGGCGGUUCUCUGGGCCUUACCUGACGCUGAGGAGCGAAAGCGUGGGGAGCGAACAGG